AUUGAACGCUGGCGGCAUGCCUAACACAUGCAAGUCGAACGGAGGUAGGGGCAACUCUACUUCAGUGGCGGACGGGUGAGGAAUGCGUCGGAAUCUACCCUAUGGUGGGGGAUAACACAGGGAAACUUGUGCUAAUACCGCAUAAUGUCGAGAGACCAAAGCAGGGGACCGCAAGGCCUUGCGCGAUAGGAUGAGCCGACGCCCGAUUAGCUAGUUGGUAGGGUAAAGGCCUACCAAGGCGACGAUCGGUAGCUGGUCUGAGAGGAUGAUCAGCCACACUGGGACUGAGACACGGCCCAGACUCCUACGGGAGGCAGCAGUGGGGAAUAUUGGACAAUGGGCGCAAGCCUGAUCCAGCAAUGCCGCGUGUGUGAAGAAGGCCUGCGGGUUAUAAAGCACUUUUGUUCGGGAAGAAAUCAUGCUGGUUAAUACCUGGUAUGGAUGACGGUACCGAAAGAAUAAGCACCGGCUAACUUCGUGCCAGCA
rnacentral:rRNA from 1 species